UGUAAAUCCAAAUUCUUCUAGCAUGAAACUCAUGACACUUUUAAGUCCUCAUUUCUCUCCUUCUGCUUAAACUGAGCUCUACUAGGAAAAGCCCCUGGGGAACAUCGGUUCCUGACUUAUUUGGCUUAGUUUGAAAACUGCCAGAUGCCACCCAGGAUACUGCAUUAGGAUCCUGCCAUAAAACUUCACUUUGUGCUGACUCAAUUUCAAAUGAGCCAUGAAGUAUUACAUUCUUGAGAAGUGGAAGAACUUUCACUGGCUUUUCGGCAGCACAUCAGCUGAAGUCAUAGAAGAAACAGCAAAAUAGGUCAUAAUGGAUUCGGGGCUGUGUUUAUAACCUGGACAACAACUGUCACUUUGUGUUUGGGGAAUUGUUCCAGAAUACGAAAACUGAAUGUUAAGGUGUUGAACUGUGAGAGGUUGUCAUAUGAAUAGGCAAGUGAUUUUCUGACCAGAGCACAAAGAAGCUGUGACCAACUAAGACAGCCCUCGUGCCUCACCACGAAUAGAGUUGUUUAAUUGGUGACUGGAUGUUCAAUUGUCCUGAGAUUAGUGACUUCAACAUGAAUUUUGGGGAACAUGUUCAGCACAUAACAUAGAUGAAAGAAGAGUGUCAUGAGCCAAGGAAUGUAGGUGGCCCGAAGAAGCUGGAGAAGGCAAGGAAAUGGAUUUUUCCCUAGAGCCUCCAGAAGGGAAAGCAGCUCUGAUGAUGCCUUAGUUUUAACCCAGUGAAAACCAUGUCAAAUUUCUAACCUACAGAACUAUUAGAAAAUCAAUUUAUGUUGUUUUAAGCCACUAAAUUUGAGAUUUUUUUGUCAUGUUAGUAACAGAAAGCUAAUGGAAUGUCAAAACUUAAGGACCAAAUAAAUACAUCUUGAGACCCUACUCUGUAUCCAUCUAUUAUUAUGGGCAGUAAUCUACCUCAAAAGGCUAGUGUCCAUUUCCACUUGUUCCAUAAAAAACACCCCAAAACACAGUGGCUGAAAAUAUCACUCAUUUAUUUUGGGUCAAAUGUCUUAGUGAGCUGGGAUUAGACUGCUCAAGGGAAGGUAGUUUUGGGGGCUGGUGAGGCUCUACUUCUCCUUACAGGUCUGUGAGUUAGCUGAGGUGGCUUUGCUCCACACAUAUCCUUAAUCUAGGACCAGCUAGCUGCCAGACGUGUUCUUAUCAUAAUGACAGAGACUCAAGAGAACAAGCCUAUAUACCUCUUAAAGUCAAAUCUUAGACUGAAGUACUGUCACUUCCAACCACAUGCCUUUGGCCAAAUAUUGUCACAUGGCCAAGUCCAAAAUCAAAGGGCAGAGAAAUAUACUCUGCUCAUAAUGACACCCAUAAGAACAUGUCAAGAACAUGGAUGCAGAGAGAGGUGAGGAUCUGGAGUCAUAAUGCAUUCUACCAGGGAUGCUGGUCCAGUUGCAGAGAUAACUAAUAAAUAUGAGACAACAAAUGUGACUUGUAUAAUAGAGGGUGAAAGUACUGAUGUACUAGGAAGUAUAAACUAAAAAAGUAUUAUCAUAUUGCCUGUUCUUUUGCUUAUAUCUAAAAUGUAUCUGCUCUGUCUUGCACAUAUAUGGAAAAACAUUUCACCAUGUUCAUAUUAAAAAAAUGGGGAAUAUAACAAGGAAUUUAGUGGUCUUAAAUUGAAAUUGAAUUUAAUACUUGUUUUCAUAAGAGAUCCCAAAUAUUCUUAAAACCAACAAAUAAUAAUCAUACGAAAUAUCUGAAGUUUUGUUUGAAUGGAAGAGAAUAAGCUUG
rnacentral:lncRNA from 1 species